UCCUGGUGGCGAGUGGCGAACGGGUGAGUAAUACAUCGGAACGUGCCCAGUUGUGGGGGAUAGCCCGGCGAAAGCCGGAUUAAUACCGCAUACGACCUGUGGGUGAAAGCGGGGGAUCGCAAGACCUCGCGCAAUUGGAGCGGCCGAUGUCAGAUUAGGUAGUUGGUGGGGUAAAGGCCCACCAAGCCGACGAUCUGUAGCUGGUCUGAGAGGACGACCAGCCACACUGGGACUGAGACACGGCCCAGACUCCUACGGGAGGCAGCAGUGGGGAAUUUUGGACAAUGGGCGCAAGCCUGAUCCAGCCAUGCCGCGUGUGGGAAGAAGGCCUUCGGGUUGUAAACCACUUUUGUCAGGGAAGAAACGGCUUAGUUUAAUACGCUGAGCUAAUGACGGUACCUGAAGAAUAAGCACCGGCUAACUACGUGCCAGCAGCCGCGGUAAUACGUAGGGUGCAAGCGUUAAUCGGAAUUACUGGGCGUAAAGCGUGCGCAGGCGGCUUUG
rnacentral:rRNA from 1 species